AUUGAACGCUGGCGGCAGGCCUAACACAUGCAAGUCGAGCGGCAGCGGGAAAGUAGCUUGCUACUUUUGCCGGCGAGCGGCGGACGGGUGAGUAAUGCCUGGGAAAUUGCCCAGUCGAGGGGGAUAACAGUUGGAAACGACUGCUAAUACCGCAUACGCCCUGCGGGGGAAAGCAGGGGACCUUCGGGCCUUGCGCGAUUGGAUAUGCCCAGGUGGGAUUAGCUAGUUGGUGAGGUAAUGGCUCACCAAGGCGACGAUCCCUAGCUGGUCUGAGAGGAUGAUCAGCCACACUGGAACUGAGACACGGUCCAGACUCCUACGGGAGGCAGCAGUGGGGAAUAUUGCACAAUGGGGGAAACCCUGAUGCAGCCAUGCCGCGUGUGUGAAGAAGGCCUUCGGGUUGUAAAGCACUUUCAGCGAGGAGGAAAGGUUGAUGCCUAAUACGUAUCAACUGUGACGUUACUCGCAGAAGAAGCACCGGCUAACUCCGUGCCAGCCGCCGCGGUAAAAC
rnacentral:rRNA from 1 species